rnacentral:rRNA from 1 species
AGGACGAACGCUGGCGGCGUGCCUAAUACAUGCAAGUCGAACGGUCUUUCUAUGGAAGCUUGCUUCCACUGGGAAGAUAGUGGCGAACGGGUGAGUAACACGUGGGUAACCUGCCCAUAAGAGGGGGGAUAACAUCCGGAAACGGGUGCUAAUACCGCAUAGUUUUCUUGAUCGCAUGAUUGAGAAAGGAAAGACGGCCUUUGUGCUGUCGCUUAUGGAUGGACCCGCGGCGUAUUAGUUAGUUGGUGAGGUAACGGCUCACCAAGACGAUGAUACGUAGCCGACCUGAGAGGGUGAUCGGCCACAUUGGGACUGAGACACGGCCCAAACUCCUACGGGAGGCAGCAGUAGGGAAUCUUCCGCAAUGGACGAAAGUCUGACGGAGCAACGCCGCGUGAGUGAAAGAAGGUUUUCGGAUCGUAAAACUCUGUUGUCAGAGAAGAACAAGUUGGAGAGUAACUGCUCCAGCCUUGACGGUAUCUGACCAGAAAGCCACGGCUAACUACGUGCCAGCCGCGGC